rnacentral:rRNA from 1 species
GGUUAAGCGACUAAGCGUACACGGUGGAUGCCCUGGCAGUCAGAGGCGAUGAAGGACGUGCUAAUCUGCGAAAAGCGUCGGUAAGGUGAUAUGAACCGUUAUAACCGGCGAUGUCCGAAUGGGGAAACCCAGUGCAAUUCGUUGCACUAUCGUUAACUGAAUACAUAGGUUAACGAGGCGAACCGGGGAACUGAAACAUCUAAGUACCCCGAGGAAAAGAAAUCAACCGAGAUUCCCCCAGUAGCGGCGAGCGAACGGGGAGCAGCCCAGAGUCUGAAUCAGCUUGUGUGUUAGUGGAACGGUCUGGAAAGUCCGACGGUACAGGGUGAUAGUCCCGUACACCAAAAUGCACAGGCUGUGAACUCGAAGAGUAGGGCGGGACACGUGGUAUCCUGUCUGAAUAUGGGGGGACCAUCCUCCAAGGCUAAAUACUCCUGACUGACCGAUAGUGAACCAGUACCGUGAGGGAAAGGCGAAAAGAACCCCGGCGAGGGGAGUGAAAAAGAACCUGAAACCGUGUACGUACAAGCAGUGGGAGCACCUUCGGGUGUGACUGCGUACCUUUUGUAUAAUGGGUCAGCGACUUAUAUUCUGUAGCAAGGUUAACCGUAUAGGGGAGCCGCAGGGAAACCGAGUCUUAACUGGGCGUUAAGUUGCAGGGUAUAGACCCGAAACCCGGUGAUCUAGCCAUGGGCAGGUUGAAGGUUGGGUAACACUAACUGGAGGACCGAACCGACUAAUGUUGAAAAAUUAGCGGAUGACUUGUGGCUGGGGGUGAAAGGCCAAUCAAACCGGGAGAUAGCUGGUUCUCCCCGAAAGCUAUUUAGGUAGCGCCUCGUGAAUUCAUCUUCGGGGGUAGAGCACUGUUUCGGCUAGGGGGUCAUCCCGACUUACCAACCCGAUGCAAACUACGAAUACCGAAGAAUGUUAUCACGGGAGACACACGGCGGGUGCUAACGUCCGUCGUGAAGAGGGAAACAACCCAGACCGCCAGCUAAGGUCCCAAAGUCAUGGUUAAGUGGGAAACGAUGUGGGAAGGCACAGACAGCCAGGAUGUUGGCUUAGAAGCAGCCAUCAUUUAAAGAAAGCGUAAUAGCUCACUGGUCGAGUCGGCCUGCGCGGAAGAUGUAACGGGGCUAAACCAUGCACCGAAGCUGCGGCAGCGACACUAUGUGUUGUUGGGUAGGGGAGCGUUCUGUAAGCCUGCGAAGGUGUGCUGUGAGGCAUGCUGGAGGUAUCAGAAGUGCGAAUGCUGACAUAAGUAACGAUAAAGCGGGUGAAAAGCCCGCUCGCCGGAAGACCAAGGGUUCCUGUCCAACGUUAAUCGGGGCAGGGUGAGUCGACCCCUAAGGCGAGGCCGAAAGGCGUAGUCGAUGGGAAACAGGUUAAUAUUCCUGUACUUGGUGUUACUGCGAAGGGGGACGGAGAAGGCUAUGUUAGCCGGGCGACGGUUGUCCCGGUUUAAGCAUGUAGGCUGGUUGUCCAGGCAAAUCCGGAUAAUCAAGGCUGAGGUGUGAUGACGAGGCACUACGGUGCUGAAGUAACAAAUGCCCUGCUUCCAGGAAAAGCCUCUAAGCAUCAGGUAACAUCAAAUCGUACCCCAAACCGACACAGGUGGUCAGGUAGAGAAUACCAAGGCGCUUGAGAGAACUCGGGUGAAGGAACUAGGCAAAAUGGUGCCGUAACUUCGGGAGAAGGCACGCUGGUGUGUAGGUGAAGUCCCUGCGGAUGGAGCUGAGACCAGUCGAAGAUACCAGCUGGCUGCAACUGUUUAUUAAAAACACAGCACUGUGCAAACACGAAAGUGGACGUAUACGGUGUGACGCCUGCCCGGUGCCGGAAGGUUAAUUGAUGGGGUUAUCCGUAAGGAGAAGCUCUUGAUCGAAGCCCCGGUAAACGGCGGCCGUAACUAUAACGGUCCUAAGGUAGCGAAAUUCCUUGUCGGGUAAGUUCCGACCUGCACGAAUGGCGUAAUGAUGGCCAGGCUGUCUCCACCCGAGACUCAGUGAAAUUGAACUCGCUGUGAAGAUGCAGUGUACCCGCGGCAAGACGGAAAGACCCCGUGAACCUUUACUAUAGCUUGACACUGAACAUUGAGCCUUGAUGUGUAGGAUAGGUGGGAGGCUUUGAAGCGUGGACGCCAGUCUGCGUGGAGCCAACCUUGAAAUACCACCCUUUAAUGUUUGAUGUUCUAACGUUGGCCCCUGACCGGGGUUGCGGACAGUGUCUGGUGGGUAGUUUGACUGGGGCGGUCUCCUCCCAAAGCGUAACGGAGGAGCACGAAGGUUAGCUAAUCCUGGUCGGACAUCAGGAGGUUAGUGCAAUGGCAUAAGCUAGCUUGACUGCGAGCGUGACGGCGCGAGCAGGUGCGAAAGCAGGUCAUAGUGAUCCGGUGGUUCUGAAUGGAAGGGCCAUCGCUCAACGGAUAAAAGGUACUCCGGGGAUAACAGGCUGAUACCGCCCAAGAGUUCAUAUCGACGGCGGUGUUUGGCACCUCGAUGUCGGCUCAUCACAUCCUGGGGCUGAAGUAGGUCCCAAGGGUAUGGCUGUUCGCCAUUUAAAGUGGUACGCGAGCUGGGUUUAGAACGUCGUGAGACAGUUCGGUCCCUAUCUGCCGUGGGCGCUGGAGAAUUGAGGGGGCUGCUCCUAGUACGAGAGGACCGGAGUGGACGCAUCACUGGUGUUCGGGUUGUCAUGCCAAUGGCACUGCCCGGUAGCUAAAUGCGGAAGAGAUAAGUGCUGAAAGCAUCUAAGCACGAAACUUGCCCCGAGAUGAGUUCUCCCUGAGACUUUAAGUCUCCUGAAGGAACGUUGAAGACGACGACGUUGAUAGGCCGGGUGUGUAAGCGCAGCGAUGCGUUGAGCUAACCGGUACUAAUGAACCGUGAGGCUUAACCUU